UUAGGAAUCUUCCACAAUGGGCGAAAGCCGGAUGGAGCGACGCCGCGUGAGGGAUGAAGGCCUUAGGGUUGUAAACCUCUAAAAGAGGGACGAUAAUGACGGUACCUCUUGAAUAGCACCGGCUAACUCCGUGCCAGCAGCCGCGGUAAUACGGAGGGUGCAAGCGUUAUCCGGAAUCACUGGGCGUAAAGGGCGCGUAGGCGGUCUGUUAAGUCCGAUGUUAAAUCCCGGGGCUCAACCCCGGAUAAGCGUUGGAUACUGGCAGGCUAGACGGUUGGAGAGNCGAGUGGAAUUACCAGUGUAGCGGUGGAAUGCGUAGAUACUGGUAGGAACACCCAUUGCGAAGGCAGCUCGCUGGACAACACGUGACGCUGAGGCGCGAAAGUGUGGGGAGCAAACC
rnacentral:rRNA from 1 species